GAUUAUGGCUCAGAUUGAACGCUGGCGGCGUGCUAACACAUGCAAGUCGCGCGUGAAAGGACUUCGGUCCGAGUAAAGCGGCGCACGGGUGAGUAACGCGUGGAUGAUCUACCCAUGAGUUAGGAAUAACGGCUGGAAACGGUCGCUAAUACCAAAUACGCUCCGAUUUCAACUUCGGGGGAAAGGUGGCCUCUGCUUGCAAGCUACUGCUCAUGGAUGAGUCCGCGUCCCAUUAGCUAGUUGGUGGGGUAACGGCCCACCAAGGCGACGAUGGGUAGCCGGUCUGAGAGGAUGACCGGCCACACUGGGACUGGAACACGGCCCAGACUCCUACGGGAGGCAGCAGUGGGGAAUAUUGCGCAAUGGGCGAAAGCCUGACGCAGCGACGCCGCGUGAGGGAUGAAGGUCCUCGGAUCGUAAACCUCUGUCAGGAGGGAAGAACCGCCACGGUGCUAAUCAGCCGUGGUCUGACGGUACCUCCAAAGGAAGCACCGGCUAACUCCGUGCCAGCCGCUGC
rnacentral:rRNA from 1 species